UAAAGGUCGAACGGGGAGAUUCAGUAUCCAGUCCUCGCCGCCGCUUCGUGCCGUCGGGUAAACUCGGGGUGGCUCUUCGGAGYCGCUCUGGGCCCGCGGUACGUCUCGCGCGCGGGAGGUGGAGCGCACUUCUYCCCCAGUAGGACGCCGCGACCCGCUGGGUGUCGGCUUAAGGCCCGGGUGCGAGUCAGGAGCGCGGCUUGUCCACGCCUCUGAGCCCUGGUGUCCCGGCCGACUGCCCGGCGGUAGAACGCACGGAACAGACCCGCGAGUCUUCUCGCGCCCGUGCCCCCUGCGAGCGUUCGGUCGCGUUUCCCGUUGUGCGGACUUGUCCGCCGCGGGCCGGCCGGCGCUGUCGGUGGGGUGGUGCUUGGGCAGCAGGUCUACUCCUGUCUGCGGCGCUUGCCAGUGGGCGGCCCACCCGGCCCGUCUUGAAACACGGACCAAGGAGUCUAACAUGCGCGCGAGUCAUUGGGUGCAACUAAACCCAAGGGCGUAUUGAACGAAAAGGGUGGCCUUGCGCUGCCUUAGGGACGAUGGGGUGCCGCUUGCGGCGCCUCCGCAGUCCCGGGGCGUCCCGUCCUACCGUCGCUCGUCGGCGGAAGGUGGGGCGCACCAAGAGCGCGCACGUUGGGACCCGAAAGAUGGUGAACUAUGCCUGGUCAGGACGAAGUCAGGGGAAACCCUGAUGGAGGUCCGUAGCGAUUCUGACGUGC
rnacentral:rRNA from 1 species